rnacentral:rRNA from 1 species
AACUUUCAACAACGGAUCUCUUGGCUCUCGCAUCGAUGAAGAACGCAGCGAAAUGCGAUAAGUAAUGUGAAUUGCAGAAUUCAGUGAAUCAUCGAAUCUUUGAACGCAAAUUGCGCUCUUUGGUAUUCCGAAGAGCAUGCCUGUUUGAGUGUCAUAU